AUUGAACGCUGGCGGCAGGCCUAACACAUGCCAGUCGAACGGUAACAGGAAGAAGCUUGCUUCUUUGCUGACGAGUGGCGGACGGGUGAGUAAUGUCUGGGAAACUGCCUGAUGGAGGGGGAUAACUACUGGAAACGGUAGCUAAUACCGCAUAACGUCGCAAGACCAAAGAGGGGGACCUUCGGGCCUCUUGCCAUCGGAUGUGCCCAGAUGGGAUUAGCUAGUAGGUGGGGUAACGGCUCACCUAGGCGACGAUCCCUAGCUGGUCUGAGAGGAUGACCAGCCACACUGGAACUGAGACACGGUCCAGACUCCUACGGGAGGCAGCAGUGGGGAAUAUUGCACAAUGGGCGCAAGCCUGAUGCAGCCAUGCCGCGUGUAUGAAGAAGGCCUUCGGGUUGUAAAGUUCUUUCAGCGGGGAGGAAGGGAGUAAAGUUAAUACCUUUGCUCAUUGACGUUACCCGCAGAAGAAGCACCGGCUAACUCCGUG
rnacentral:rRNA from 1 species